rnacentral:rRNA from 1 species
GACAGAGGUGCCGAGCGUUAGGCGGAAUCACUGGGCUUAAAGCGUGUGUAGGCGGGCCGUUAAGUGUCUUGUGAAAUCCCCCGGCUCAACCGGGGAACUGCUGGGCAUACUGGCGGCCUUGAGAGACCUAGGGGCGAGCGGAACAAGCGGUGGAGCGGUGAAAUGCGUAGAUAUCGAGAGGAACACCUGCGGCGAAGGCGGCCUUCUGGACGAUGACUGACGCUGAGACGCGAAAGCGUGGGGAGCAAACAGG